rnacentral:rRNA from 1 species
CAGUCGCCACGGUAAUACGGAGGGGGCUAGCGUUGUUCGGAAUCACUGGGCGUAAAGCGCACGUAGGCGGCUUUGCAAGUCAGAGGUGAAAGCCCGGGGCUCAACCCCGGAUGUGCCUUUGAGACUGUGAGGCUUGAACGUCGGAGAGGUGAGUGGAAUUCCGAGUGUAGAGGUGAAAUUCGUAGAUAUUCGGAAGAACACCAGUGGCGAAGGCGGCUCACUGGACGACUGUUGACGCUGAGGUGCGAAAGCGUGGGGAGCAAACAGGAUUAGAUACCCGCGUAGUCCCUGUCUCUUAUAC